rnacentral:rRNA from 1 species
UGGGGAAUAUUGGACAAUGGGCGCAUGCUUGAUCCAGCCAUACUGCGUGGGUGAAGAAUGCCUUCUGUUUGUAAAGUUCUUUUGUUGGGAAAGAAAUCCUAUCGGUUAAUAACUGGUGGGGAUGACGGUACCUAAAGAAUAAGCACCGGCUAACUUCGUGCCAGCAGCCGCGGUAAUACGAAGGGUGCAAGCGUUACUCGGAAUUACUGGGCGUAAAGCGUGCGUAGGUGGUGGUUUAAGUCUGCUGUGAAAGCCCUGGGCUCAACCGGGGAAUUGCAAUGGAUACUGGAUCACUAGAGUGUGGAAGAGGGAUGCGGAAUUUCAGGUGUAGCAGUGAAAUGCGUAGAGAUCAGAAGGAACAUCCGUGGCGAAGGCGGCAUCCUGGGCCGACACUGACACUGAGGCACGAAAGCGUGGGGAGCAAACA